rnacentral:lncRNA from 1 species
UGGGAAGAUAUCUUAACAACAGUGUUCAACUCAUAGCCAGUAAAGGUGCCGGAAGGAACCAGGAUUUGUUGAUCUAACUUGGCAUCAUUUGAGAAACGAUGCACAGCCAACCAACCAACCGGUUGUCUAUCAAGAAUCCGGAGUGAUGUCUUGCAAGAGUAUGCAGCAGAGGCGGUGCCACUUGUGGUGGGAAUGCAGGAACAACCCUAGUAAAUACUGGUAGGUAGAUCAUCACUGGCUGGCACCAUUGUGUCCUCGCUGUCGAUGUAGAACACACGGCAAUCUUUUCCAGGUUGUUCUGCUGGAUUUCCAUAUA